rnacentral:rRNA from 1 species
GAUGAACGCUGGCGGCGUGCCUAAUACAUGCAAGUCGAGCGAACAGACGAGGAGCUUGCUCCUUUGGCGUUAGCGGCGGACGGGUGAGUAACACGUGGAUAACCUACCUAUAAGACUGGGAUAACUUCGGGAAACCGGAGCUAAUACCGGAUAACAUGUUGAACCGCAUGGUUCAACAGUGAAAGACGGUCUUGCUGUCACUUAUAGAUGGAUCCGCGCCGCAUUAGCUAGUUGGUAAGGUAACGGCUUACCAAGGCAACGAUGCGUAGCCGACCUGAGAGGGUGAUCGGCCACACUGGAACUGAGACACGGUCCAGACUCCUACGGGAGGCAGCAGUAGGGAAUCUUCCGCAAUGGGCGAAAGCCUGACGGAGCAACGCCGCGUGAGUGAAGAAGGUCUUCGGAUCGUAAAACUCUGUUAUUAGGGAAGAACAAAUGUGUAAGUAACUAUGCACGUCUUGACGGUACCUAAGCAGAAAGCCACGGCUAACUACGU